rnacentral:rRNA from 1 species
CCUACGGGAGGCAGCAGUGAGGAAUAUUGGUCAAUGGGCGCAAGCCUGAACCAGCCAUGCCGCGUGCAGGAAGACGGUCCUAUGGAUUGUAAACUGCUUUUAUUUGGGAAUAAACCUCUUUACGUGUAGAGAGCUGAAGGUACCAAAUGAAUAAGCACCGGCUAACUCCGUGCCAGCAGCCGCGGUAAUACGGAGGGUGCAAGCGUUAUCCGGAAUCAUUGGGUUUAAAGGGUCCGCAGGCGGGAAGAUAAGUCAGUGGUGAAAUCUCACAGCUCAACUGUGAAACUGCCAUUGAUACUGUCUUUCUUGAAUUCGAUCGAAGUGGGCGGAAUGUGACAUGUAGCGGUGAAAUGCUUAGAUAUGUCACAGAACACCGAUAGCGAAGGCAGCUCACUAGGUCUGGAUUGACGCUCAGGGACGAAAGCGUGGGGAGCAAACAGGAUUAGAUACCCCAGUAGUC